AAUAGAUACCCGGGUAGUCCACGCCGUAAACGAUGAGUGCUAAGUGUUGGGGGGUUUCCGCCCCUCAGUGCUGCAGCUAACGCAUUAAGCACUCCGCCUGGGGAGUACGGUCGCAAGACUGAAACUCAAAGGAAUUGACGGGGGCCCGCACAAGCGGUGGAGCAUGUGGUUUAAUUCGAAGCAACGCGAAGAACCUUACCAGGUCUUGACAUCCCGGUUGACCACUAUGGAGACAUAGUUUCCCCUUCGGGGGUCAACGGUGACAGGUGGUGCAUGGUUGUCGUCAGCUCGUGUCGUGAGAUGUUGGGUUAAGUCCCGCAACGAGCGCAACCCUUAUUCUUAGUUGCCAUCAUUCAGUUGGGCACUCUAAGGAGACUGCCGGUGAUAAACCGGAGGAAGGUGGGGAUGACGUCAAAUCAUCAUGCCCCUUAUGACCUGGGCUACACACGUGCUACAAUGGACGGUGCAAACGGUUGCCAACCCGCGAGGGGGAGCUAAUCCGAUAAAACCGUUCUCAGUUCGGAUUGUAGGCUGCAACUCGCCUAC
rnacentral:rRNA from 1 species